UACGAAGGGUGCAAGCGUUAAUCGGAAUUACUGGGCGUAAAGGGUGCGUAGGCGGUUCGUUAAGUCUGUCGUGAAAUCCCCGGGCUCAACCUGGGAACUGCGUCCGAUACUGGGAGGCUUGAAUCCGGGAGAGGGAUGUGGAAUUCCAGGUGUAGCGGUGAAAUGCGUUGAUAUCUGGAGGAACACCGGUGGCGAAGGCGGCUCACUGGGGGUCUUCUGACGCUGAGGAACGAAAGCCAGGGGAGCGAACGGG
rnacentral:rRNA from 1 species